rnacentral:rRNA from 1 species
GACGAACGCUGGCGGCGUGCUUAACACAUGCAAGUCGAACGGAAAGGCCCUGCUUUUGUGGGGUGCUCGAGUGGCGAACGGGUGAGUAACACGUGAGUAACCUGCCCUUGACUUUGGGAUAACUUCAGGAAACUGGGGCUAAUACCGGAUAGGAGCUCCUGCUGCAUGGUGGGGGUUGGAAAGUUUCGGCGGUUGGGUCUGGACUCGCGGCUUAUCAGCUUGUUGGUGGGGUAGUGGCUUACCAAGGCUUUGACGGGUAGCCGGCCUGAGAGGGUGACCGGGCACAUGGGGACUGCGAUACGGACCAGAAUCCUACGGGCGGCAGCAGUGGGGAACAUUGCACAAUGGGCGGACGCCUGAUGCAGCAACGCCGCGUGCGGGAUGACGGCUUUCGGGUUGUAAACCGCUUUCGCCUGUGACGAAGCGUGAGUGACGGUAAUGGGUAAAGAAGCACCGGCUAACUACGUG